rnacentral:lncRNA from 1 species
UAUGAAUUUCUUAAAACUUGGCUCGUGCCAAAAUUAUUCUCAUACUCAGUUGUCAGUGAUACCUUGGCCUAGGGUUAUCCCAACCGAUUCCGCCAAGGUUGUUAAAAAGUCAUGUACGCAUAAAUCAUGUUUUUAUUUUGAAAACAUAGUAGUUCCUUGGCGUUGGCUGAGUUCACCCUCACGUGGUGGUUUGGUGUGAAGUGAACUCUAAAG